UACGGAGGAUCCAAGCGUUAUCCGGAUUCACUGGGUUUAAAGGGUGCGUAGGCGGUUCCAUAAGUCAGUGGUGAAAUACGGCAGCUCAACUGUCGAGGUGCCAUUGAUACUGCGGAACUUGAGUGUUGAUGAGGCAGGCGGAAUUGACGGUGUAGCGGUGAAAUGCUUAGAUAUCGUCAAGAACACCGAUAGCGAAGGCAGCUUGCCAAGCAACAACUGACGCUCAGGCACGAAAGUGCGGGGAUCAAACAGG
rnacentral:rRNA from 1 species